UACGAAGGGGCUAGCGUUGCUCGGAAUUACUGGGCGUAAAGCGUGCGUAGGUGGUUUGUUAAGUCUGAUGAUGAAAGCCCUGGGCUCAACCUGGGAACGGCAUUGGAAACUGGCUUACUAGAGUGCGGUAGAGGGGUGUGGAAUUCCCGGUGUAGCAGUGAAAUGCGUAGAUAUCGGGAGGAACAUCUGUGGCGGAAGGCGACACCCUGGACCAGCACUGACACUGAGGCACGAAAGCGUGGGGAGCAAACAGGG
rnacentral:rRNA from 1 species